UCCUCUCUAGCAGAAGACCCAUUUUCUUUCUUUCCUCCACUUCUACUUCUCCAUACUACUCUCUCAUUCUCUCCUUUACGUUCCCCUGCAGCACCACCGCACCAUGUUUCCUUUCUUCUUCCAAUAGCACCAAGAGACCACCUCCAUCUUCUUCAUUUCUUCUUCUUGCCACGGUCCCAUUCGUUCCCUUGGCAGUACCCCACGCACACACAUGUUCUUCUCACACUAAUCACCAUAUCCUUUCUCUUGAAUAGCAGCCACGUGAGCUCCUUGUUUCCUUGACCAUGAAAUAAGCCCAUCCUCAUCACCAACACCUUGAAAGCCAUCAUUCAGCUUCACCCUCAUCAUUUUUGCUGGCCUCAACGAGGCACCACAACUCUUUCUGAGAUCUUUUUAUGGGUACGAAGGACGGAAGCGCUGGACGACGAAGCCAAAGAACAAACGGAAGUGAGCCAACACGGGAAAGCAAAGAUAUGACUGGAUUUGAUUUGAGUCGCAACUUAGUAAGGAAAGCUCCUAAGAUGUCGAUGGCCGACUGGUUUUCGAUGGUCUCUCCCUCGGGGGGGGGGGGAUCAGGUUUGAGUUGGAGGACCGUACUGGCGUGGAAGUCUGACGAAAGGAGUUUUACGACGCAUGGAGCUGAGCUUCAACUUGCUGUCUUCAGUUCGCUGUGGACUCGGUUAUGUGAGCAGUACUGGGAGGGUAGGUUCAGGCAGGCGUCAUAUUUUGUGUAGAGCUCUGAUUCGUCUUACUUUUGGGACAGGGUAGGUUCCCGACGCAUGACUUUUCGUGUGGUUCUCUUAUUGAGGGAUCACAGUGAGUUAGUCGGACUGUAGGGGUUUUGCUUAGGCCAUUUUGAGGCCGACUUUCUUCUAGUGGGUUGUAAUUAUAAACUUUCUUACUCACACUUCUGGGUCUGUAUUUAUUUGCCUACGGGCACACUACUUUGGAGUCACUGCGAGUGCGCGUGACAUGGGAGUGCAGCUGAGGCUGUACAUGUGUAUAUAUUUGUAUAUCGGUUAGUUUAGUUGUUGGGUUUUGUCUUUAUUUCUUUAUCGCUUUUAUUUAAAGGAAUCAAUCGAAAAAAAAAUUACCUGUUUUCCGCGUAAAGUUUAUUUCUUUGGUUACUAAAGUGACACCUGGAAAUCGGGGUGUUACAUGCGUUUUGACGCGACCUCGGAGUGGGGAACCUUUGAACUGAUUGAAGUUGGUAUUUCGGGUU